GAUGAACGCUGGCGGCGUGCCUAAUACAUGCAAGUCGAGCGAACAGACGAGGAGCUUGCUCCUCUGACGUUAGCGGCGGACGGGUGAGUAACACGUGGAUAACCUACCUAUAAGACUGGGAUAACUUCGGGAAACCGGAGCUAAUACCGGAUAAUAUAUUGAACCGCAUGGUUCAAUAGUGAAAGACGGUUUUGCUGUCACUUAUAGAUGGAUCCGCGCCGCAUUAGCUAGUUGGUAAGGUAACGGCUUACCAAGGCAACGAUGCGUAGCCGACCUGAGAGGAGUUUGGGCCACAGUGAAACUGGGCCCCGGCCCCGACUCCUGAGGGGGGCAGCAGUGGGGAUUUUUCCCAAAUGGGCAAAAGCCUGGCCGAGCAACGCCGGGGGAGUGAAAAAGGUCUUCGGAUCGUAAAACUCUUUUUUUGGGGAAAAAAAAAUGUGUAAGUAAAUGGGGACUUUUAGGGGGAACCUAAUAAGAAAGCCCCGGCUAAUCGCGG
rnacentral:rRNA from 1 species